rnacentral:rRNA from 1 species
GUAGCUGCGCAGCCUACCAUGCAGUCGUACAGGUAACUCAGCUUGCUUAGCGGAUUAGUGGCGAACGGGUGAGUAACACGUGAGUAACCUGCCCUUGACUCUGGGAUAAGCGUUGGAAACGACGUCUAAUACCGGAUAUGACCUUCGGAGGCAUCUCCUGGGGGUGGAAAGAUUUUUUGGUCAAGGAUGGACUCGCGGCCUAUCAGGUUGUUGGUGAGGUAAUGGCUCACCAAGCCUACGACGGGUAGCCGGCCUGAGAGGGUGACCGGCCACACUGGGACUGAGACACGGCCCAGACUCCUACGGGAGGCAGCAGUGGGGAAUAUUGCACAAUGGGCGAAAGCCUGAUGCAGCAACGCCGCGUGAGGGAUGACGGCCUUCGGGUUGUAAACCUCUUUUAGUAAGGAAGAAGAACUUCGGUUUGACGGUACUUGCAGAAAAAGCACCGGCUAACUACGUGCCAGCAGCCGCGGUAAUACGUAGGGUGCAAGCGUUGUCCGGAAUUAUUGGGCGUAAAGAGCUCGUAGGCGGUUUGUCGCGUCUGCUGUGAAAACUGGAGGCUCAACCUCCAGCCUGCAGUGGGUACGGGCAGACUAGAGUGCGGUAGGGGAGAUUGGAAUUCCUGGUGUAGCGGUGGAAUGCGCAGAUAUCAGGAGGAACACCGAUGGCGAAGGCAGAUCUCUGGGCCGUAACUGACGCUGAGGAGCGAAAGCAUGGGGAGCGAACAGGAUUAGAUACCCUGGUAGUCCAUGCCGUAAACGUUGGGAACUACAUGUAGGG